rnacentral:tRNA from 1 species
UGGCACGUAGCUCAAUUUGGAAGAGCAUCCCGCGACAGUAUCACAAACCGGGAAAAUGUGCGUUCAAGUCGCGCCGUGCCAACCU